UACAGAGGUGGCAAGCGUUGUUCGGAAUUACUGGGCGUAAAGGGCGCGUAGGCGGCCAUCUAAGUCAGACGUGAAAUCCCCCGGCUUAACCUGGGAACUGCGUCAGAUACUGGAAGGCUUGAGUAUGGGAGAGGGAUGUAGAAUUCCAGGUGUAGCGGUGAAAUGCGUAGAUAUCUGGAGGAAUACCGGUGGCGAAGGCGGCAUCCUGGACCAUUACUGACGCUGAGGCGCGAAAGCUAGGGGAGCAAACGGG
rnacentral:rRNA from 1 species